UCGAGAAUCAUUCACAAUGGGCGAAAGCCUGAUGGUGUGACGCCGCGUGGAGGAUGACGGUCUUCGGAUUGUAAACUCCUGUCAUGUGGGAGUAAAGCAGGGCUUUAACUGAGUGCCUGUGUGAGAGUACCACAAGAGGAAGAGACGGCUAACUCUGUGC
rnacentral:rRNA from 1 species